rnacentral:lncRNA from 1 species
AUGGGCCAGUCCAAUCAAAGCAGUCAUUUCAGUUAUAAAAAUGGCAGCGUGAAAAGGAACCACAGAAAAGCAGUAGCAGCAGUUCCGUUUUUGCAAAGUGACCGUGCAGCUUCCUUGACUGUGUACAGGGAAGCAACCAAGCAGUUUCCCAACACAAUUGCUCAGUCUGGUCCAGUCAAUCACUUGGCAGGUCUGGAGAUAGAAACCUAUAGAAAUGAUCCUGUGGUCCACUCUGAGCCCCUGUCUCAUGCUGUGGAACCUCAGAAUUAUCAUAUUGUCAGAACUGGUAGAGAGUGGGGCUUGAGAAUCAUGCAGCCUCACCCCUCCCUUAUCCCAGGGGUUACAGAAGAGCUUGGGGUCCUUACCGAAAUGCCAUGGCACUUCAGGAGACUCCCCUUCUCUCUCCGAGCUGAACAUCCCUCAGUGGCAGCAAGUUCUUCCUUGUGUCUAACCAGAGUCUCUCUCGCUGCAGGAGCAGUCUGGAUGCCCCUCGUCGUAGCCAGUCUCCAGAGGUUGGCUGUCCCUAUGUGUUUGCCACUAUUUACAAUGAUGGAUUGAGGUUUCUUACGCAUGAACCUCUGCCCACAUGACGAAUACCAGACCCGUUUUUAAGGUAUUCCGCCCAGACUUCCAGAACAAUGCCUGUGACUUUAGAGAAGAAAUGGUAGCUGAGAAUAAGAGAAAUACUUGCUUCCGUUCACAUGCCUUCUCCUAUAACUGUAAGUUCCUCUUGAUAUGUUGCAUGGGGCCUUAAAUAUUGUUUAUGUUCAUGAAAUAUUUGCUAUAUUGUAAUAACAAUUGGAAUUAUUAGCUAAAGUCGAGCAGAGAAAAACAGAAUUGGAGAGAAGGGAAAAACAGAUCAAAACAUUAGAGGGAAAUACUUUGAACCACAUCUGUACCCCUAUCUGCCCUGCUGCAGUUUUCUGUUUUAAAGUCUCCACUAGGCACUCAGGGGAUUGUAGAAAUGGUAAUGCAUUGAAUCCAGGAAAAUGAAGUGUGAAGACCCAGAGAUGUGCCCAGAACAUAAGGUGGACCUUAGGCUGCACUGGGCUGGACAGCAGUCAAGGGCUCUGGGGUUGGCCCAUCUCAUAGGU